rnacentral:rRNA from 1 species
GAUGAACGCUGGCGGCGUGCCUAAUACAUGCAAGUCGAGCGAACGGACGAGAAGCUUGCUUUUCCGAUGUUAGCGGCGGACGGGUGAGUAACACGUGGAUAACCUACCUAUAAGACUGGGAUAACUUCGGGAAACCGGAGCUAAUACCGGAUAAUAUUUUGAACCGCAUGGUUCAAAAGUGAAAGACGGUCUUGCUGUCACUUAUAGAUGGAUCCGCGCUGCAUUAGCUAGUUGGUAAGGUAACGGCUUACCAAGGCAACGAUGCAUAGCCGACCUGAGAGGGUGAUCGGCCACACUGGAACUGAGACACGGUCCAGACUCCUACGGGAGGCAGCAGUAGGGAAUCUUCCGCAAUGGGCGAAAGCCUGACGGAGCAACGCCGCGUGAGUGAUGAAGGUCUUCGGAUCGUAAAACUCUGUUAUUAGGGAAGAACAUAUGUGUAAGUAACUGUGCACAUCUUGACGGUACCUAAUCAGAAAGCCACGGCUAACUACGUG